CCCGAGUGGUCCCUGGGAAGCCGCCCGGGGUGGGGCCGUGUCACGUGCCUGCGGCCGCAGCUCAGGCCCAAUAAGGGGUCGUCGCGCUCUAUAGGAGGAAAUUAACGCCACCAGUGACCCAGGCAGCUGCAUAUGUUGGCAUGAUUGAUGAGAUCUGCUACAGUCAAGCAAGCAGCCCUGGGUGACCAGUUUACCCUUCCCCGCUAGGGUUCCAGCUGCCAGUUGCCCCCAUUCUGUGACAGCUUCUCCUUCUCCUCACCUUGUCAUCAAGCCAAGAUUGUACACUGUAGGAGAACAGUCCCCAUCUUUUGACUCAUGAGAAUUCCAUACAACCAGUUGACUGAAAAUGAAACACUGGAGCCUGGUUUACAUCUGGGUCUGCAAGAUAUUCUGGUCCUUCCUGAAAGUGCAGUACCUGAAAGUAUAAUUGCAACAUUAUAUCCCCAUCCUCCACUCAGAAUACCUGCAAAUAUCAAGGACCCACUCUUAAUCACAGAUCCAUGUCGCUUACAAUGAAUGACCUAGAAGAUUAUGCUAAUUGGACUUUGCCUGCCUCUCUGACUUUAUCUCAGGCCACAAGAGAGGGAGAAGAAAUACAGGAUAUGAGGAAGGACCUGGGAGAGUGAUUGAAGUAAUUUCAAGAGGAGAAACAUGAUGGUGAAGCCAAAAGCCUUUAAGAUCAAGAUGGCUGAGUAAAUUCUCUUUGUAUAACAGAUUAAAUAUGUAGUUUUCAGUAGAUGACAAGUCCUAGGUUUAAUCUCAACUCUGAAUUUAGUGGCUCAGAAUAAAUUCAUUUGAACUGAACAUUGUGAAUCAAAAUAUAUUUUACAUUAACAUAGAGAAUAUAAAUACAAACACAAGGGAAUUUGUAUUAUACUUAAAAAAAUAACACCUUCUCUGACCUUUUUUAGUUAUGUGGAAUUGAUAUGCUGAAUAUACCUGCCAGCCUUUUGGCACUGAUGAAAAUUCGAUCUCAAGGAUAAUAGGCUAAUACCUCACAUAACAGGGGGCAAAGGAUUAGAGUCCUUUACAGAUUAUAUUUUUGUCACUUUUUUGCAUUUAGUUCGAGUAAUGUGUGCAAAGAGCAAAAUGUGAAUGCUCAUUUAUUGUAAAUAGUUUGUACUGAAACUGUAGUUCAAAUGUUAAUAUAAUUUGUUCUACACAUAUGUGUCUAAUUUGUGUUUAAAAUGGCAUAAACAAGUUACUUUAUUUCAGUCAUUUUAUGAUAGUUAAUCAUAUAAUUUAAUUAAGAUUUUCAGCCUUAACAGCUUCCAUAGAUAAUUUGAACUGCAUCUUCACUUUUCUCACACUUAUGACCCCCUUCAGGACCAAACCUAUUCCUGUCCAGUCUUUCCUAAAUCAUUUGAAGUUACCAUAAUUGUCCCAGCCUCUGGCUGUCAUCUUUAAUCUGGGACAAUUCUGGAGAGCCUCCUAAAUUGUUGCUCUGCUUCCACACUCCAUAUAGCAACCAAAGUGUGCAUGUAAAAACAUACAUCAGUCACUCUUCUGCUUAGGAUUUGCCAAAGGAUUUCUGAUAAAACAGAAACACAGUUCAAAUGUUUUCUUCAGUAUGGUCUUAGUUCUCUUAAUUCUUCAAGCUCUUCUCUUCCUUUGACUCCCACUGUGAUCUAGCCCUCUGCAAGCCCUGAAGUUGACGGAUUUGUUUUCCCAUUUUUCUUAGUGGAUAGGACAACCAAUAAAUAUUUAUUGAAUUGAUACACAAUGAAUAAUGGUAUAUUAUGUGACAUUUUACAAAAACUGGUAAAUAUUUGCCUUUUUUUCCCCUAAUUAUGCUACUCUAAUAUAAUAAAGGAACUCUAA